UACGUAGGGACCAAGCGUUGUUCGGAUUUAUUGGGCGUAAAGAGCGUGUAGGCGGUCCGGUAAGUCCGCUGUGAAAGUCGGGGGCUCAACCCUCGAAUGCCGGUGGAUACUGUCGGGCUAGAGUACGGAAGAGGCGAGUGGAAUUCCUGGUGUAGCGGUGAAAUGCGCAGAUAUCAGGAGGAACACCUAUUGCGAAGGCAGCUCGCUGGGACGUAACUGACGCUGAGACGCGAAAGCGUGGGGAGCAAACAGG
rnacentral:rRNA from 1 species